AACGUUUGUAGAUCGCGAACGUCUUCUGAGUUGUUUUCGUCUCGAGUGAGGGUUCUUCGAGUUGCAGAAGCUGCUGCGUAUUUUCAUGACAUGAGUCAAGAACGAAAGUUAGGAGCUCGAAGACGAUCAGAUACCGUCGUAGUCUUAACCAUAAGCUAUGCCGACUAGAGAUAGGAAAACGUCAUGCUUGACUUCUCCUGCACCUUAUGAGAAAUCAAAGUCUUUAGGUU
rnacentral:ncRNA from 1 species